GAUGAACGCUGGCGGCGUGCUUAAUACAUGCAAGUCGAGCGAAGCGGGGACGGGUGAGUAACACGUGGAUAACCUCCUAUAAGACUGGGGUAACUUCGGGAAAACGGAGCUUAACCGGAAACUUAUAGAUGGAUCCGCGCUGCAUUAGCUAGUUGGUAAGGUAACGGCUUACGAAGGCAACGACGCAUAGCCGACCUGAAAGGGGUAUCGGCCACACUGGAACUGAGACACGGUCCAGAUGCCUACGGGAGGAAGCAGUAGGGAAGCUUCCGCAAUGGGCGAAAGCCGGACGGAGCAACGCCGCGUGAGUGAUGAAGGUCUUCGGAUCGUAAAACUCUGUUAUUAGGGAAGCGGUACCUAAUCAGAAAGCCACGGCUAACUACGUGCCAGCCGCCGCGGUAAUAC
rnacentral:rRNA from 1 species